UUACGGCCAUAUCAAGUUGAAAAACCGGUUCGCGUACGAUCACCAAAGUUAAGCAAAGUUGAGCUUGGACAGUACCUAGUUGGGUGACCACAAGCGAAUAUCAAAUGCUGU